rnacentral:tRNA from 1 species
UGCCCUAUCGUAUAUUGACUAUUACCUCUGUCUCUAAAACAGAAGAAGUGGGUUUGAUUCCUACUAGGGCUA